rnacentral:rRNA from 1 species
GAUGAACGCUAGCGGCAGGCUUAAUACAUGCAAGUCGUGGGGCAGCAGGUGUAGCAAUACAUGCUGGCGACCGGCGCACGGGUGCGUAACGCGUAUGCAACCUACCAUUUACUGGAGGAUAGCCCCUCGAAAGAGGGAUUAAUACUCCAUAGUAUAACGAGAAGGCAUCUUUUUGUUAUUAAAGCUCCGGCGGUAAUUGAUGGGCAUGCGUGACAUUAGCUAGUCGGUGAGGUAAUGGCUCACCAAGGCUACGAUGUCUAGGGGUUCUUAGAGGAUAUACCCCCACACUGGUACUGAGACACGGACCAGACUCCUACGGGAAGCAGCAGUAAGGAAUAUUGGUCAAUGGUGGCAACACUGAACCAGCCAUGCCGCGUGCAGGAUGACGGUUCUAUGAAUUGUAAACUGCUUUUAUACGGGAAAAAACUUUCGGACGUGUCCGAAACUGAUGGUACCGUAAGAAUAAGGAUCGGCUAACAUCGUGCCAGCAGCCGCGGUAAGACGAAGGAUCCAAGCGUUAUCCGGAUUUAUUGGGUUUAAAGGGUGCGUAGGCGGACUUGUAAGUCAGCGGUGAAAGCCCGAUGCUUAACAUCGGAACUGCCAUUGAUACUGCAAGUCUUGAAUAUGUUUGAAGUGGGCGGAAUGUGUCGUGUAGCGGUGAAAUGCUUAGAUAUGACACAGAACACCGAUUGCGAAGGCAGCUCACUAAACCAUUAUUGACGCUGAGGCACGAAAGCGUGGGGAGCAAA